rnacentral:lncRNA from 1 species
AGCUUGCGGCCGUUGGGGAUGAAUAUUGUUCUAAAGGCAAAAAAAAAAAAAAAAAAAAAAAAAAAAAAAAAAGAACAAAACAACUAAAAAAACGGAGAAGGGGGUUAGGGGUAAACACCACAUGGCUGCAGGAGGAUUACAAGAUUUCCUUUCCUUUCUCUACUGACAAGAUUGCAAAAUUUGUGAACCAGGACGGGAGCGUGAGGAACUGUAGUAGGCAAGAUUUAUCGUCAGGUGUGGUGGCAUAUGUCUUUAACAUCAUCAUUCAGAAGACAGAGGCAGGUAGAUCUCUGUGAAUUUUGAGUCCAGCCUGGUCUACCUGCGUUUUUUCUCUCCCUACCGGAAAUCUGAUGGGCUUAUGACAUCAUGGCUGGCUGCUGAGCGAUGGAGUGGAUGCCACAAAGAAAUCCGACAUGUCAGAUGGAUUCAGAAAUCCCUUUCCCUCCUGCGGCUGGAGGAACAGGCGUGGAGUCGGGAGAGUCUGAGCUUUGUUUGAGAAAUUAUUAAGGAAAAAAAAAAAAAAAACCCAAACCAAGUCUUGCCUGACAUUAAAAGCAGUUUUCUUAAAAAACG